rnacentral:misc_RNA from 1 species
GAUGAAGAACGUAGCGAAAUGCGAUACGUAAUGUGAAUUGCAGAUUUCAGUGAAUCAUCGAAUCUUUGAACGCACAUUGCGCCCGCUAGUAUUCUGGCGGGCAUGCCUGUUCGAGCGUCAUUUCAACCAUCAAGCCCCCGGCUUGCGUUGGAGCCCUGCGGCUGCCGCAGGCUCCCAAAUCUAGUGGCGGGCUCGUCGUCGUACCGAGUGCAGUAAACAUCCUCGCUCAGGGAACGCGUCGGGUUCUUGCCGUGAAACCCCCCCAUAUCAAGGUUGACCUCGGAUCAGGUAGGAAUACCCGCUGAACUUAAGCAUAUCAAUAAGCGGGAGGA